rnacentral:tRNA from 2 species
UAGGAGGUAGUGUAACGGAAGCACUAGGGGUUUUGAUCUCCUAAGAAUGGGUUCGAAUCCCUUUUUCCUAA